rnacentral:rRNA from 1 species
GGCGUAGGGGGCGAGCGUUGUCCGGAUUUAUUGGGCGUAAAGCGUGCGUAGGCGGCUGCGCAAGUCGGGUGUGAAACCCCGGGGCUCAACCCCGGAACUGCAUCCGAUACUGCGUGGCUAGAGGUAGGUAGGGGAGAUCGGAAUUCCUGGUGUAGCGGUGAAAUGCGCAGAUAUCAGGAGGAACACCGGUGGCGAAGGCGGAUCUCUGGGCCUUACCUGACGCUCAGGCACGAAAGCUAGGGGAGCGAACAGG